AUGCCUGGAUCAUACACAUUAUUUUGGGUGGUAUGUUUGACCCAAAAACAUAGCACGACAGCAAUAGGAAUUAACAGUGGUUGGAUCAAAUCAGAGGAAAAUCCACUCUUCACCAAGGACAAGGACCUGUCAGGAUCUGGCAGCUUAAGCGGAUGUGGGGGUAGGCUAUCCAACUUUAGAUAA